UGUCAGGAUGCUUGGUAAAAUACAAGUAUACAAACUUCUUAUCAUUAACAUAUUAAAUGCUUUUGUGAAAGAUGAAGAUUUGGUGUAUCUGCAUUUUUUAAACCCACUUCUUCACAUUUUAUAGUAAUUUCCUUAUUCCUAAUUUCUAUUUCCUGAAAUAUCUUCUUCCCCUUUUCCCCGGAUAUGAAAACGGCACCAAAACACAUUACUGUAUCUCAUUCUCCUCCUAAACAAAGAUGGACCUGCAAGUCUCGGUUUUUCUUUUGGGCCUUCUUUUCACCGGAGGAUACGCUCUCAGAUGUUAUGAGUGUAAUGAUCCGACGGGUUCUUGUGCGGAUAAGAAGGAGAUAACUUGUGAAGGUGAAUCUUCCAAGUGUAUGAGUUAAACAGCGGUGACACCAAUAGGUAGCAGUAGUCAUACAAUAAAGGUUAAAGGUUGUGCUUUACCAAAAAACUGUCAAACCAUGUCCUACAACUUUGGCAGUGCAAAGAUUUCCUUUUUCUGCUUUGAUACUGACCUUUGUAAUGCCCAGGAUUCUUCAGGUUCCAUCUCCAAUGGAAUAAAAUGUUACUCUUGCGAUGAGAAGAGCUGCUCAAAACACAGUGAGUUGUUCGGGGAGUGAAGACCACUGCAUUACAGCAACAGGGAGUUUCAGAGGCCAGUCAGUGGGUGUGAAAGGCUGUGUUUCUAAAGCCAUUUGUAAUGCCACAACAUCAGUUCCUAAUGUUCAAAGCAUCUCAUGUUGUUCAGGGAUCCUGUGUAACGGUGCUCAGAGCAUCACUCAGAGCUUCCUGUUCCUCUGCUGUUCUCUGCUCUCCUUCAUCCUGCUUCACUGAAUCCAGCAGAUCUACACAUUCUGCAGCUGCAGCAAAGACAUGCAUGCAUUGAUGUACAAAAAUAUAAUUCAUUAUACAAUUAUAUAUGAUCUUUUUUAUUAUUAUUAUUAUUAUUAUUAUUAUUA